GCCUCCACUGAACCAACAUGCGCACGCCGAGGUGCCGUUGCGUCACAAGCCCUCUCUUUCGUAGACGGCGCGCGACGCGCGAACCCCUUCACUAAUCGCGGUUGGGCGGACCAGUGAAGACGUCAUCACUGCCGCCGCCGACGUGAGCCGGUUGCUGAAGCGAAGAAGCGCUGGAUGAAUCCAGAGUUUCCUUGUCUCCCACUCGAGAGGAGAGGGACUGAGGAGCGACGCGCGGGUGGUGGGAUAGGAAGCAUGGAAGAGGCUGGACAGAAACUGCAGGAAGACAAGAUCUACAUUGUGUAUAAUCUUAGUGGGGCUGCCAUUCCUGGUAACUACAUUCCAUUACCAAAGCCGAAGGAAACAGACCCUUGCCCUCCUUGACUCUGCAGGACCGGGGGCCAGAAUCUCUCUCCCUGUAGAGACAAAUGGAGACAAAAAAGCAGGAAGAACACAUGUGUACAUUCAGUGGGUAUAUUAAGCAAGAAAAUCUAUGAAAUGCAAAAGAAACUAGGGGCUGAAACUUUAUUCUGAGGGCUAAAGCGUGGCUUGUCUUAAAGAAACGGAGAAUUGCUCCUGAGAUAGCCUGUCAUCUGAUGGCUUAUGAGGUGAGGUCCUGCCCUCCUCUUGCUUAGAGGUGGGAGAGACCAGACCAAAAGCUGAAUGCCUGAUCUCUGCCUAUGGACUCCAAGUGACUCAGGAACGUUCACUUGACUCUUUAGUAAAGAGCAGCUUGAAGCUCUAUAAAGGUCUAGUUUGUACACAGAGACAAUAACCUCUUUGGAUCAGGGAAGCAGAACCCCACUCCAUAUGGCUGCCGACUGCCCGCCCCCUCACUGUGGCUCACUAUAGAGAAGUAUCAGUAGCUGGAGAGAUUGUAAGGCUGAUUCCCUUUCUGACUCCCCGGGCCAUCCCUUUCUCAGAAACACAGAUACACUGUCAAUGAAAGAGUUGACACUAGAAAAUAAGUAGCGCAUACCCAAGGGCAUACUCAGUCACUGUGUCAGAGACGUUUGAACCAGAGCGACUCCAUUUUGAGUGAGGGCUAGGAAAAUAAGACUGGGACUUGCUGGGCUGCAUUCUCAGAAAAUUAGGCAUUCCUAGCCUCGAAAUGUUUACGGUUAAGGGAACAAGUUAAUAAUGUUUCCUAAACAGACCCACACUUGGGAAUGUCCAGAUGCCCAGAUAUCUGGAGAACAAAGGCAUUCCUGAUUUUGCUUUAAAGAUGAUAAUAUCAAUUCUUGCAAAAUAUAGUAAUUAAGAAAAUUAAUCCUUUAUCACAAACCCUUGUAGUGGAGCACAUCUCCCCAUAUAUACAAGCAUUGUACCUAGAGCAGACACAUUCCUCCUCUUACUUUCAGGAACAUCCUACUCUGUCAAUGGAGUAGCUGCUCUGUCACCACUUUAUUUUUUUAAUAAACUUGCUUUCACUUUGUACUGUGAACUCGCCCUGAAUUCUUUUUUGCAUGAUAUCCAAGAACCCUCUCUUGGGGUCUGGAUUGGGACCCCUUUCCUGUAACAACUGGUCCUCACUUCAGUGCUUUAUUGGACUGCUUUUGUUAUUUGAGGCUUGAAGGUUGACCAAAAAAAAGCCAAACUCUAAAAUAUUUGAAGUGGUUUAGUCUAAGCCAAAUAUGAGUGUCAUGGCCUGUGACACAGCCUCAGGAGGUCCUGAAAACAUGUGCCCAAGGUAGUUGGAUUAUAGCUUGGUUUUAUACAUUUUAGAGAGACAGACGUUAUAGGCAAAGACAAAAAUCAAUACAUGUAAAGUAUAAAAGGCAGGUUAUCUCAAAGCAGGGAGUAGGGGAUGUGGGCGUGUUACCGGGGGUCCUUGCUCACAGAGCUCCCAAGAUGGUGGCGAGCCGCUUCCAAGAUGGUGGCAAGCCUCAUGUUC